rnacentral:rRNA from 1 species
CCUGACUGCUAUCGGAUUGAUACUAAGCCAUGCGAGUCAUUGUAGCAAUACAAGGCAGACGGCUCAGUAACGCGUAGUCAACCUACCCUAUGGACGGGGAUAACCUCGGGAAACUGAGAAUAAUACCAGAUAGAACAUUAUGCCUGGAAUGGUUUAUGUUUCAAAUAAUUUAUUGCCGUAGGAUGGGACUGCGGCCUAUCAGUUUGUUGGUGAGGUAAUGGCCCACCAAGACUAUUACAGGUACGGGCUCUGAGAGGAGUAGCCCGGAGAUGGGUACUGAGACACGGACCCAGGCCCUAUGGGGCGCAGCAGGCGAGAAAACUUUGCAAUGUGCGAAAGCACGACAAGGUUAAUCCGAGUGAUUUCUGCUAAAGGAAUCUUUUGUCAGUCCUAGAAACACUGUUGAAUAAGGGGUGGGCAAGUUCUGGUGUCAGCCGCCGCGGUAAAACCAGCACCUCAAGUGGUCAGGAUGAUUAUUGGGCCUAAAGCAUCCGUAGCCUGUUUUGUCAGUUUUCGGUUAAAUCCAUACGCUCAACGUAUGGGCUGCCGGAAAUACUGCAAAACUAGGGAGUGGGAGAGGUAGACGGUACUCGGGAGGAAGGGGUAAAAUCCUUUGAUCUCUCGAUGACCACCUGUGGCGAAGGCGGUCUACCAGAACACGUCCGACGGUGAGGGAUGAAAGCUGGGGGAGCAAACCGGAUUAGAUACCCGGGUAGUCCCAGCUGUAAACUAUGCAAACUCAGUGAUGCAUUGGCUUGAUGCCAAUGCAGUGUUGCAGGGAAGCCGUUAAGUUUGCCGCCUGGGAAGUACGUACGCAAGUAUGAAACUUAAAGGAAUUGGCGGGGGAGCACCACAAGGGGUGAAGCCUGCGGUUC